rnacentral:rRNA from 1 species
GAUGAACGCUAGCUACAGGCUUAACACAUGCAAGUCGAGGGGUAGCAGGGUAGCAAUACCGCUGACGACCGGCGCACGGGUGAGUAACACGUAUCCAACCUUCCCAUAACUCAGGGAUAGCCUUUCGAAAGAAAGAUUAAUACCUGAUAGUACUUUUUCAAGGCAUCUUGAGAAAGUUAAAGAUUUAUUGGUUAUGGAUGGGGAUGCGUUCCAUUAGAUAGUUGGUGAGGUAACGGCUCACCAAGUCUUCGAUGGAUAGGGGUUCUGAGAGGAAGGUCCCCCACAUUGGGACUGAGACACGGACCAAACUCCUACGGGAGGCAGCAGUGAGGAAUAUUGGUCAAUGGGCGAGAGCCUGAACCAGCCAAGUAGCGUGAAGGAUGAAGGUCCUAUGGAUUGUAAACUUCCUUUAUAGUAGAAUAAAGUGACCCACGUGUGGGUUUUUGUAUGUAUACUAUGAAUAAGGAUCGGCUAACUCCGUGCCAGCAGCCGCGGUAA